rnacentral:rRNA from 1 species
UGGAAUCAGGCUUGUUCUUGAUUUCAAUCGGUUUCUCACCCCAUCUAAGCUCAUGGAGAGGUGUCUAGUCCCAAUUGGAGUCGCUUUGAGUGACGGCUAUGAAAAUUGGGUAUGUUCCCCGUGAGGGUCGAGCAUAGACUUUAUGAACAGUGCUGGAGCUGUCGCCUCACCAAAAAAUCAUCGAUAACUGGUGGCUAUGUGUGACAUUAGUCACAUAGGUAUCUGCUGAUGCAGAGAGCCUUAAUGAGUUGUUCGUGUCAUCUGACCUACAACCGCCAGUAUCGGUAAAUCAACCCAAUUAACUUGUUUCUUGUGUCGUGUUAAUACAUACUGGCAAAGUGUAUUAGCUUUAGCGAUGGAUCGGUUGAUUCGCGUAUCGAUGAAAAACGCAGCAAGCUGCGUUAUUUACCACGAAUUGCAGACGCUUAGAGUGGUGAAGUUUUGAACGCACAGCGCCGUUGGGUUUUCCCUUCGGCACGUCUGGCUCAGGGUUGUUUAAUAAGCGAAAGUGUUGAAAGUUCAUUAAACGAGAGUUCGGUGAUACUGACAACACUACGUCGAGCGGUGUACUGUUGAAAGUACCCCGUUCAAGUAUCUUUAUGGGGCAACAUGUCUUCUAUAUGGAGACAUGAAAGAUAUUAAGAGUAUAUACCUGUGGAUGCCCACGUAUGAAAUAUGACGUGUCGUAUACACGGCUAGGAGGUAUGUCUCAGAUGAAUUUGUUUAUGCAACCUGAGCUCAGUCGUGAUUACCCGCUGAACUAAA